ACGGCCAUUAUCGAAGGAAUUGUGCCAGUCACACUAAUGGUGAUCUCGUCCCACAUUUUAAAUACAAACUAAGUAGGCUAUUGCAUGGCUAUCAAGUUGACCUAUCCCUUUGAUGGCGUCCAGGUGCCAGAUAUCUCACAACGAUCAAGUGAGGUAUAAUGGUCUUCCAAAAUUGUAUCCCCAUCAUAUUUGGACAGUACU
rnacentral:lncRNA from 1 species